ACACAGGGAAGGAGGUGGUCCGCGAAAUUGAUAGCUUCAUGGACAUGUGAGGUGGCUACGAGUUAGCUGCAUUGGCUCGGAAAAGUCGGCGCAAUGCACGCUGGCGAAUUCCCCGUAGCCACCCGGCCCCCGAGUUCCGGUCUGUCCAACCGAGAGCCUUGCUCGGGGGCCGCUCCAU
rnacentral:sRNA from 1 species